UACGGAGGAUCCGAGCGUUAUCCGGAUUUAUUGGGUUUAAAGGGUGCGCAGACGGGAGAUUAAGUCGGCGGUGAAAUUUUGCAGCUCAACUGUAAAAGUGCCAUCGAUACUGGUUUUCUUGAGUGUGGAUGAAGUAGGCGGAAUUUGUGGUGUAGCGGUGAAAUGCAUAGAUAUCACGAGGAACUCCGAUUGCGCAGGCAGCUUACUAGGCCAUAACUGACGCUCAGGCACGAAGGCGUGGGGAUCAAACAGGAUUAGA
rnacentral:rRNA from 1 species